ACAAACCGCUGGGGGCGCUUAAUGCUGAGAUGGUAGCGAUACCUGUCCCUUCGAACCUGUAAGUUAGUACUUGCGUAGGGAAGCAAAAUCCGACAACC
rnacentral:ncRNA from 2 species